CCUACGGGAGGCAGCAGUGAGGAAUAUUGGUCAAUGGACGAGAGUCUGAACCAGCCAAGUAGCGUGAAGGAUGACUGCCCUAUGGGUUGUAAACUUCUUUUAUAAAGGAAUAAAACGAGGCACGUGUGCCUUUUUUCAUGUACUUUAUGAAUAAGGAUCGGCUAACUCCGUGCCAGCAGCCGCGGUAAUACGGAGGAUCCGAGCGUUAUCCGGAUUUAUUGGGUUUAAAGGGAGCGUAGAUGGGUUGUUAAGUCAGUUGUGAAAGUUUGCGGCUCAACCGUAAAAUUGCAAUUGAUACUGGCAGUCUUGAGUACAAGUGAGGUAGGCGGAAUUCGUGGUGUAGCGGUGAAAUGCUUAGAUAUCACGAAGAACCCCGAUUGCGAAGGCAGCUUACUAAACUGUGACUGACAUUGAUGCUCGAAAGUGUGGGUAUCAAACAGGAUUAGAUACCCGAGUAGUC
rnacentral:rRNA from 1 species